UAUGUUGCUGACGCAACAUGUUGCCAGAUAACCGUGUCAGGCGUAUUCCAGUAGUUGAUCAUACUGGUACGAUAGGGAUGGGGCGUCCAUUGGAGAGUUGUCCGUGCUGCUGCAACUUGCAAGUGAGCAUGGGGAUGAGCUGAACCCUUUGAAUGCUUACAUACAAGGAUGUCUAGAUGAUGAUGGCAAUAAAUAAAUGGAUCAAUUGCUUAAUCAUGGUUAAUACUGUUGAUACGGAAUAUAUAUGCAUCAUUUCUGUGGCAUUGGAUGCGGAUUGGUGUUGGUUUCUCAACUAGAGUAUAUUGACAAGUCUCUGCCUGUGGCAACAAUUCCUUUUACUCCUCAACUAGAAAUUACAUAUGCAGGCUUAUGUAAUAUUGCCUCUGUUAAGUUUUCGGAUGACUGAUUGGUUGCUUCAAUGGAGAUAACACAACAAAUUGUUGGAGCCUUGAUGGUUGUGAAACCUAUUAUGUCUUGUGAGUGUGAACAAAUCAAUAAAGUCCGACACAACAAGAACUUUUGGAACUCCAACAUGUUGUGUGGGAGCUUCACAUAUAGAAAAUUUUCAAGUUUCG